rnacentral:rRNA from 1 species
GACAGAGGGUGCAAACGUUGUUCGGAAUUACUGGGCGUAAAGCGCGUGUAGGCGGUCAGGCAAGUCGGAUGUGAAAUCCCGUGGCUCAACUACGGAAGUGCACCCGAAACUGCUUGACUUGAGUCCCGGAGAGGAAGGCGGAAUGCUUGGUGUAGAGGUGAAAUUCGUAGAUAUCAAGCGGAACACCGGUGGCGAAAGCGGCUCACUGGAUCUCUUCUGACGCUGAGGCACGAAAGCUAGGGGAGCGAACGGG